rnacentral:rRNA from 1 species
GACGAACGCUGGCGGCGUGCUUAACACAUGCAAGUCGAACGGUGAAGGGAUCAGCUUGCUGGUUCUGGAUGAGUGGCGAACGGGUGAGUAACACGUGAGUAACCUGCCCCCUUCUUCUGGAUAACCGCAUGAAAGUGUGGCUAAUACGGGAUAUUCUGGGUCUGUCGCAUGAUGGGUCUGGGAAAGAUCUUGUUUCGGUGGGGGAUGGGCUCGCGGCCUAUCAGCUUGUUGGUGGGGUGAUGGCCUACCAAGGCGGUGACGGGUAGCCGGCCUGAGAGGGUGGACGGUCACACUGGGACUGAGACACGGCCCAGACGCCUACGGGAGGCAGCAGUGGGGAAUAUUGCACAAUGGGCGCAAGCCUGAUGCAGCGACGCCGCGUGAGGGAGGGAGGCCUUCGGGUUGUAAACCUCUUUCGCCAGUGAAGCAGGCCUGCUCCUUGUGGGUGGGUUGACGGUAGCUGGAUAAGAAGCGCCGGCUAACUACGUG